GUCACUGCGCUGCCAGCUGAUCGGAGCAAGAAGCCGGGCGUGUGAUCGGGACCAGAGUUCCGAGAGGAGGUCUACAGAAUUCUCUACUCUCCAUACAACAAAAAGUGACUAUCCCCCGGCCUCAUCUAUGAAGAAGAAGAACUCGAAGUGACUGGCCGACCCUCUGGUCCAAACUCGGGCAUUUCUACAUGGAAUGGUUGAUCAAUGCUACCGCUCUUCUUCUGGUCCUUAAUGGAGGACUGACUACAGCGCAUGCCUCUGCCCCAAAUGGCUGACACACAGCAGUUCUUCACUGGCAAGCUUUAUGUUCCUGUACACACGCUAAAGCUGCCAGCUGAAGAACUGCUCUGGUCAGCUCUCAUUCAGACUGGGGACGAGGUCAAAAGAGGGAUGAAGAAGAAGAAGAAGAAGAAGAGGGAAGAAGAAGAAGAAGAAGAAGAGGGAAGAAGAAGAAGAAGGAUGAAAGAGAGGAGAGACUCACUUGAUUAUUUUCAGUUUAAACAGGCAGCUGACUGGCAACCCUGAGUGACUAUUAACAUACAUAUUUGAAAUUCAGGUCCAUUUAUCCAUGAACAGCUGUGUCAAACCGUUAAGAUGUGAAUGAUUCAUUUAAGUUUAAUGUACCUUAAUCUGCAGACGUUGGAUUGCCUUCAUAGCUGUAUUGUCUUUUCCAAUAAAGUUGACCUUGUGAACCAAA